CAAAGUGCUGGGAUCAGAGACGUGAGCCACCGCGCCCGGCCUGAAUUAAUAUUUUAACACUUUUGUUAAAGAUAAGAGCCUUAAAAUGGUAUAAUUCCAAUUACUCUCCUUUGUCCUUUAUGUUAGUUUUGUCACUUAUUUUUUUUCUGCAUGUUUGUUGUGAGUUAUCAGGAAUUAGUGUUGGAUUUUGCCAAAAUUCUUUUAUGUCUUUUGACAUGAUUCUAUUGAUUUUCUACUUUAUUUAUUUAUAUGAUGUACUAUGUUCAUUGUGUUUUAGAUAGUAAACCAAAUUUGCAUUACUAGUAUUAAUUCCAGAGACAUGUAGUGUAUGAUCGUCUUACAUACUGUUGGAUGUAAUUUGCUUCCAGGCUGUUAAACAUAUUUGCAGGUAAACUUAUGAGAGACAUUGUUUGGCACUUUCCUUUUCUUCUGAUGUCUCCAUCCUGCUUUGGUAUCAAGCUAAUACUGGCUUUCUAAAAUGUUUUGGCAUAUCUUCUCUUCUGUAUUUGCUGGAAAUGUUUGUGUAUGACUGAUAUACUUUCUUCCUUAAAUGUUAGAUGGAAUUCAUGGGUUAAGGCUUCUAGCACUACACUCUUCUUCAGAGGGAAUAUGUUUAAUUACUAAUUCAAUUUUUUUUUACUUUAUAUACAUCUAUUAAGAUUUUCUAUUUGUUCUUUAGUCAAUUUUGCUACUUAAUGUCUUUGUCGGAAUUUGCUUAUUUCAUUUAUGUUGCUAAACUUGUUGACAUUAGUUGUUCAUCAUAAUACCUUAAAUUCUUUUAAAAUUUCUGUUGAAUCUGUUGUGAGGUUCUAUCUUUCAUUCUUUUUUUUUUUUUUUUCUCAGACAGAGUCUCGCUCUUGUCACCCAGGCUGGAUGCAGCAUCCUGCUACUGGAUAUGUAGAUAAAAGAGAAGUAUUACAUCUUUGAGAUAUGGAAUCAACCUAAGUGCUGCUCUAAGCAUACAAGUGCAGCAACAUGGAUGGAAAUGAAGUUCAUUAUCUUAAGUAAAAUAACAGAAACAGAAAGUCAAAUACUGCAUGUUCUCACUUAUAAAUAGGAGCUAAAUAACACAUACUCAUGGACACAGAGAGU
rnacentral:lncRNA from 1 species